AGAACGCUGGCGGCGUGCCUGACACAUGCAAGUCGGACGGUUCUUGUAUCUUCAAGCUUGCUUGCAGGUGCAAGGAUAGUGGCGGACGGGUGAGUAACGCGUGAACAUCUACCCAUUGGAGGGGGACAACCCGUCGAAAGGCGGGCUAAUACCGCGUAAGCCGCGAGGUGAGAGGCUGCCUAUUGGUGGCCGCCGAUGGAUGGGUUCGCGUCCUAUCAGCUGGUUGGUGGGGUAACGGCCUACCAAGGCGAAGACGGGUAGCCGGUCUGAGAGGAUGGCCGGCCACACUGGAACUGAGACACGGUCCAGACUCCUACGGGAGGCAGCAGGUGGGGAAUAUUGGGCAAUGGGGGAGACCCUGACCCAGCGACGCCGCGUGAGGGACGAAGGUUUUCGGAUCGUAAACCUCUGUUGUACGGGAAGAAGGAUGUGACGGUACCGUACGAGGAAGCCCCGGCAAACUACGUG
rnacentral:rRNA from 1 species